UUACGGCCAUAUUACGUUGAAACAUGGGUUCCUGCACGAUCACUGAAGUUAAACAAUGUCGAGUCUGGUCAGUACCUAUAUGGGUAACCGCUUGGGAAUACCAGGUGCUGUAA